UCCGACUUAACGUCGGCGGUCCCUUUAGAGUGCCCAACUGAAUGCUGGCAACUAAAGGCAAGGGUUGCGCUCGUUGCGGGACUUAACCCAACAUCUCACGACACGAGCUGACGACAGCCAUGCAGCACCUGUGUACCGACUCUUGCGAGCGACGACAUUUCUGCCAGUCUUCCAGUACAUGUCAAACCUAGGUAAGGUUCUUCGCGUUGCAUCGAAUUGAACCACAUGCUCCACCGCUUGUGCGGGCCCCCGUCAAUUUCUUUGAGUUUUAAUCUUGCGACCGUACUUCCCAGGCGGGAUACUUAACGCGUUAGCUUCGGCACCCAGGGGGUCAAUACCCCGAACACCUAGUACCCAUCGUUUACGGCGUGGACUAC
rnacentral:misc_RNA from 1 species